KCAUCGGCUAACUCCGUGCCAGCAGCCGCGGUAAUACGGGGGAUGCAAGCGUUAUCCGGAAUCAUUGGGCGUAAAGCGCCUGUAGGUUGUUUAAUAAGUCUGUUGUUAAAGACUAGGGCUUAACCCUAGAAAAGCAAUGGAAACUACUAGACUAGAGUAUGGCAGGGGUAGAGGGAAUUUCUAGUGUAGCGGUGAAAUGCGUAGAUAUUAGAAAGAACACCGGUGGCGAAAGCGCUCUACUGGACCAUUACUGACACUCAGAGGCGAAAGCUAGGGUAGCAAAAGGGAUUAGAUACCCCUGUAGUCCUAGCCGUAAACGAUGGAUACUAGAUGUUGUGCAUAAAGUACAGUAUCAUAGCUAACGCGUUAAGUAUCCCGCCUGGGGAGUACGCUCGCAAGGGUGAAACUCAAAGGAAUUGACGGGGGCCCGCACAAGCGGUGGAGCAUGUGGUUUAAUUCGAUGCAACGCGAAGAACCUUACCAGGGCUUGACAUACUACAGAUUCUUUUGAGAAAAAGAAGUGCCUUCGGGAAUGUAGAUACAGGUGGUGCAUGGCUGUCGUCAGCUCGUGUCGUGAGAUGUUGGGUUAAGUCCCGCAACGAGCGCAACCCUUAUUUUUAGUUACUAAUUCGUUAGGUUCUCUAGAAAGACUGCCGGUGACAAACCGGAGGAAGGUGAGGAUGACGUCAAGUCAGCAUGCCCCUUAUGUCCUGGGCUACACACGUGCUACAAUGGUUAAGACAAAGAGUCGCGAGCUCGCGAGAGUCAGCUAAUCUCAUAAACUUAGCCUAAGUUCAGAUUGUAGGCUGCAACUCGCCUGCAUGAAG
rnacentral:rRNA from 1 species